rnacentral:rRNA from 1 species
ACUGACAGCCAUGGUUACCGCGGCUGCUGGCACGGAGUUAGCCGGUGCUUCUUCUGUGAGUGAUGUCCUUCCUGCCGGCUAUUAACCCGCAGGCCUUCUUCCUCACUGAAAGUGCUUUACAACCCGAAGGCCUUCUUCACACACGCGGCAUGGCUGGAUCAGGGUUGCCCCCAUUGUCCAAUAUUCCCCACUGCUGCCUCCCGUAGGAGUCUGGGCCGUGUCUCAGUCCCAGUGUGGCUGAUCAUCCUCUCAGACCAGCUACGGAUCGUCUCCUUGGUGAGCCGUUACCUCACCAACCAGCUAAUCCGACAUAGGCUCAUCCGAUAGCGCGAGGCCCGAAGGUCCCCCGCUUUCCCCCGUAGGGCGUAUGCGGUAUUAGCCUGGGUUUCCCCAGGUUAUCCCCCACUACCGGGCAGAUUCCUAUGCAUUACUCACCCGUCCGCCGCUCGCCACCAGGGAGCAAGCUCCCCGUGCUGCCGCUCGACUUGCAUGUGUU